GUAGGUUACAGCUCAGUGGUAAAGUGCAUGCCUAGUAUGCACGAUGUCCUGGGUUCAAUUCCCAGUGCCUCCA
rfam:Camelus ferus unplaced genomic scaffold scaffold2523, whole genome shotgun sequence.